CCUACGGGAGGCAGCAGUGGGGAAUAUUGCACAAUGGGCGCAAGCCUGAUGCAACCAUGCCGCGUGUAUGAAGAAGGCCUUCGGGUUGUAAAGUACUUUCAGCGGGGAGGAAGGGAGUAAAGUUAAUACCUUUGCUCAUUGACGUUACCCGCAGAAGAAGCACCGGCUAACUCCGUGCCAGCAGCCGCGGUAAUA
rnacentral:rRNA from 1 species